GCUGUUGUGUGUUUCCCUCCCAUCCAGAGGCUUCAGUAGAGGCCACUCACAUCAUCUCAGCCAUCAGUGAGGUGUCCUCAAUCCCUGCUCCCUGUGACUCGGAGGCAGCAGCAUUCAAAGAGGAGUGCACAGAGUGCCACGACCAUAUGGAUACUGCAGUGUCAGCGAUGGAGGAGCCUGAGACAGAGCCCGGGGCGUCAGAGGCCCUGAAGGAGCGCCCCGUGGAGGAGGUGACCGCUAGACUGGCCCAACAAGACCACGAGGAACAGGAAGUCCUCACAUCUGUAUCAGCCAGUCUGGACGACUCCCUGGCCAGCUCUGCUAAAGCCACUUUGCAGGCUAUUGGAGCUCAGGAGGCCGCGCUGCAGGCCAUCGCUCAGCACACACUCAGACUGAAGGAGGCCAUGGAGGCAGAGGUACUGACU